CUCAAAUGCGGGAAUGAAGUUCUCCCCAGGCAAUGGCCUGAAGUGCCUUAACGGCUGAUGACUUCUGCAGCGUA
rnacentral:ncRNA from 2 species